rnacentral:lncRNA from 1 species
UGGCAGAAUUUUGCUUUAUGCACACUAUGUAACCCCUUAUAACUUAUUUUUUGGAAUUUUCAGAAAAUUUUUGUGAAUUUGUAUCCUACACAUGGGGUUUCAUACAAUUAUACAAAAACAAAAAAAAAUUGGAGGUGUGUAAUUUAAGGCCUGUUCAGUUGUUAUUUUUUGUACAUCUCAUGACCACUUCAAUGCGUAGAAUAUAUUUGUCAACACAUGUACUUCCUUGCAGACAAGAGUUCAUGCUUGGCUCAUUACUAUGGAAACAGGCAUGAAUGUGUCUGUGGCAUACUGGCUAAAGUUACCCAAAACUUGCAAACUUUAAAAGCUAUUAACUCUUUAUUUACUGAUUUGUGAUGAAAAUGAAUUUUAUGACAAUGAUUAGCAUACAAAACAACACCAUUACACCAAAUAUAAAGUCAAUGGGAACAGAAACUGUAAAGUGGCAGCCAAACAGAAAAGAUCCAAUAUCGUAACAGUUUGAAAUGUAACCUCUUCAGAUCUGCUUCCACUAUGCAAUCUAAAGUAAAUCCUUGGUCAUCUCUCCAUAAUAAAAUCCAGUCUUGUUGACUUAUAUAGUUAAACUGAUCCUAAAUUGCUUCCUCUUUCAUUACUUGUACCAUUAGAAUCACUACAGAUACCAAGCUGGAGUCCAGUUAUGUUAAUCUUUUUGCAAGCUAUACUGACAUACAGAUUUUCACCUUGUUCACUGUGUUGGCACUAUUUCACUUACCUCAGUUAAACUGAAGUGCUUUAUCUCAUCUGUCAACACUUCAUGCAUUAGAAUUCAUUUCCUACUCUAUCCAGUACUUCUAUCAACAAUAUCCACUUCCAGCUACUAAUGCCAUUGUUAUUUCCCUUCUCUGUAUCUACACAGAAUACAUUUAUUAAAGAUACACUGCACCUUAUGUAGCUAAAAGUUAACAUUCUGCAACAUCUAUUAGUAGCUUUCUCAGCAUUGUUUACACCACAGUUCAUAUUAUAACAAUCACUGCAAAUAACAUAGCCACACUGCAACUAAGUGCUCUAGUUGACUAUUUCUCAAAAUUGAGCCUCCAAAAACCACACAAAAUAUGCACCUUCUACUUUCACCAUGAUUUUCAUUGCUUCUUUCCAUCAUUGGUGAUGUCCUUGUCAGAGCCAAAUGCACACACAGCACUCUUAAAACUUGAUUCCAGAUGUUUUUUGAACCCGUUUGUGAAGCAAUUUAAUUUCAAUGAUGUUAGAGAGCAAACUCUAAAAGGGUCCUUUUAGCACUUUUUCUCACAUUUCUUUCUGGGAUCUUUGGAUGACUAGUCAGUCUUUACUAUUAAGGCUAGUGACUAAAGGUAAUUCAAAAUGAUUUCCUGUUGAUGAUAGGAAAAUAUCUAAUUUGGUGCAAUGCAGUUUUAUUUCAAGUGUUGUUACCAACUCUAAGAGUAUAUGUUUUACCAAUGAAAUAUUGUUUUCAGCUUGUAAAAUCAAAUUCCAGUUUGAUAUCUAUGAAAAUAUCAGUUAACAUAUUUAAACAAUAUUGAAAAAAGUUGCUCUCUAUCCCUUCUAUGAACCUGUCCAGAGACAGAAGAGUUGCAAUGACUGAGCAAACCAAGUGAUAUGAAUCUGUGAUCACUGUGGUACUGUACUGAUCCCUACACACUGAAGCUUCCCUACCACCAUUUGAUUGAGAUUAAUAGAGAAUAGGUUAAGAUGGAGCUCCAAACUAACUAGAUAAUAAUUUGGUUUGUUUGUUUCAGUGCUGAAAUCAAAUUCUCUCGUACAAAGAAAUAUACUCAAAACAUAGGCAUAAUCAUAUUUUACACAAUAUUUAUCUAUAUUUUCAAAUGGUUUUUCAUUGUAAAUUUAUAAGGAAAAAAUAUCUUUAUAUAAUGCUUUAUUUACAAGUUUUACAUACUCUCUCAAAUAUUUCAAAGUCAAUCAAUUAGAAAUUUCAAACAAAAUACUUUCUUACAUAUUUUGGGGAAAGGAAAUAGGGAAUUAGUGAUGUCAAUGCCUGUUCUAUUAACUGGAAAUAAAAAUAAUUGCAACAAAACUCUUUACACUGAAAACUUAACACUGCAUCAAGGCAGCAGUCUUUGAUUUAGAAGGGUCCUAAAACAUUUUUAUUCAGUAUUACUUUCCCUUCUUAUUUAAGAUUACAUUCCAUAAAACCUUAAUGGCUAUAGCAUUACUUCACAGGUGUUAAAAGUAAAACAGUUAAACACUGGAAGAACAGAUUUGUCUGGUGAAAUAAAGUGGGGUUGGGUUACAUUCCUUUUUUUUAAGGAAUCCCUGCUGGUUUAAAUACUCUUUGUAUUUCUUUGUUUCUACAUUCCUACAAAUUUUAUAUGAUUUUUGAGUUUUCAAAGAAAAAUAAAUCUUAAUUAAAAAACAAAUCUUUGUAAUGACUUUGCAUUCCAUUCUUCUUUCCCAAAUAUUCUACAGAAAUUUUGUUUUAAACUACGAAAUAUUUGACACCAGAUUUGAACAUAGUUAAAGUAAGAAUGACAAUAUCUAAAUAAGUCAGUUUUUCAUUUUCAAAUCGAGUCAGCUCAUAGAGCUGGUGAGGAGGCAAUUUUCAUGCCUUUUUUCCCAAAGGCAUCUUGUAAAAUAACCAUAAAUGUUCACUCUAUACACAUUCACAGUGAAUAUCGAAGUAAAAAAAAAAACAUCAAUAAACAAACAAACAAAUCCUAUUUUAAUAUUAACAUUCCUGCAACAUCUAAAUCCAAUACUCCAGACUUUACCCCAGUCACUUAACUCAAACAAAUCACAGCUAUGGAUAUCAACAAUUCAGUUAGCAACAAAAAAAAUUUAGAAGUGUUACUAUUAGUAAUAAAUUCUAAACAAAUUCAAGGUACAAUGUUAGAAUUUCAAUGUCAUUUUCACUAAAAUAAAUCAUAAUCCAAGGUUUAUUUCCACAAAGCAUUUUUGAUAAUAAAUUUCAAAGUAAAGACCAAGUCAACUUAAAUGUUAUUUAAACUCUUCUGACUAAUCAUAAAAACAAAAUAAACUUUCCUAAUCCAAUGAAUCUACAUAAAAAUAGGGACAAAUUCUUCAUAAAUUUCUAAAUACUGGUCUUUAUAUUUGGAAAUAUUUUAUACAUAUAGAGCAGACAUAAAAUUGAUUGUUUCCUUUUAUCAUCAUCCAAGAGAAUGUACAAAUGAUUCCUUCUUCAGUAUCCUGAUAAUCCCAACAAUCUUUUGAUUAUACUAGAAAAUACAAUUUACACUGUAUUACAGCUUGUAUCAAUUCACUAACUUUAUAACAGCUCAGUAACCUAGUUGUAAAUAGAUGCCAUUUAUAAUCAAGACUGGAACCUUGAAUAAAUUGGUAUAUUGAGAGCAAUGAUCUUUGUAGAGCUGUACAAUGAUUACUGAAAAUG